rnacentral:rRNA from 1 species
UACGUAGGGGGCAAGCGUUGUCCGGAUUUAUUGGGCGUAAAGAGCGUGUAGGCGGCCAUACAGGUCCGUUGUGAAAACUCGAGGCUUAACCUCGAGACGUCGAUGGAAACCGUAUGGCUAGAGUCCGGAAGAGGAGAGUGGAAUUCCUGGUGUAGCGGUGAAAUGCGCAGAUAUCAGGAAGAACACCCGUGGCGAAAGCGGCGCACUGGACCACAACUGACGCUGAGGCGCGAAAGCUAGGGGAGCAAACAGG